rnacentral:rRNA from 1 species
AUCGCUCUUUGUAAAUAUAAAAUAAGGAGUCGUACCUGCCCGGUGAAAAAUUUAACGGCCGCAGUACCCUGACUGUGCAAAGGUAGCAUAAUCAUUUGCCUUUUAAUUGAAGGCUGGAAUGAAUGGUUUGACGAAAUUCUUCUGUCUCUGUCUUAUUAAAUAGAAUUUAAUUUUUAGGUGAAGAAGCCUGAAUGAAGUCAAAAGACGAAAAGACCCUGUCGAACUUUAGAGUAAUUAUAAAAUUAUAUGCUUUUUAGAAUAAAUGUUUCUUAGAAUUUCUCUUUUGUUGGGGUGACAGAAGAACAGAUAAAGCUUCUUUUAGUUGAGGAAACUUAUAUGUUGAAAAGAUCCAUAAAAAUUUAUGAUAGUAAGAUAAGUUACCGCAGGGAUAACAGCGUUAUUUUUCUGGAGAGUUCAAAUUGAAGGAAAAGAUUGCGACCUCGAUGUUGGAUUGGAAUACCUAAUAGGCGGAGAAGCUUGUUGUUGGGGGUCUGUUCGACCUUUAAAUUUCCACAUG